rnacentral:rRNA from 1 species
UACGGAGGAGGCAAGCGUUAUCCGGAAUUAUUGGGCGUAAAGCGUCCGCAGGUGGCACUUCAAGUCUGUCGUCAAAGACUGGGGCUUAACCCUGGAAAGGCGGUGGAAACUGAAGCGCUAGAGUGCGGUAGGGGUAGAGGGAAUUCCCGGUAUAGCGGUGAAAUGCGUAGAGAUCGGGAAGAACAUCGGUGGCGAAAGCGCUCUACUGGACCGCAACUGACACUCAGGGACGAAAGCUAGGGGAGCGAAUGGG